rnacentral:rRNA from 1 species
UACGUAGGGUGCAGGCGUUAAUCGGAAUUACUGGGCGUAAAGCGUGCGCAGGCGGUUUCUUAAGUCAGAUGUGAAAGCCCCGGGCUUAACCUGGGAACUGCGUUUGAAACUGGGAGACUUGAGUGUGGCAGAGGGGGGUGGAAUUCCACGUGUAGCAGUGAAAUGCGUAGAUAUCUGGAGGAAUACCGGUGGCGAAGGCGGCAUCCUGGACCGACAUUGACGCUGAGGAGCGAAAGCUAGGGGAGCAAACGGG